AGGAAUUAUUGUUGUCGAGGCUCUCUUUCCAUCGAAGAAAUUCUUACACCCAUCGAUAAAGGGUAUUGGCAGUAUCCUUGUAAAGCCCCCUUGUUGCAUCGUUAGUAGAGGGACUAACCGAAAACACCCUUGGACUCUCUGUACGGCCUCUGGCAAUAGUUAACGCCUUCGUUGUCCUGGUCUUCCGCUACAUUCUCGGAGCCCUCUACCGCAACCGAACCCGAGCCCGCAAAGGGCGCCACAUGCAUUUCAAUUAACGGCCACCGAAAGCACUUCAAGCGCAAAAAACACGUACUACCCAGGUAUCGCCUUCCGCCCAUCGCCACGCCCACACAGAGGUAGCAACAGCUGCAGCAGCAGCAGCAACAACCUGGGAAAGGCUUCAAGGGGUGAAGGGGAACCUCCUCCUAUCCUACAUAUCCACAUUGUUUAUGCUGCGCGGCUGCACUUUAUCAAAGCGCCAGGCGAAAGCUAAAAACAAACUGCGGUCGCCCAACGCCAUUUUGACUUCCAGGCAGACGCCACCUUUUUUUUUGGAUUACCCUACAAAUAGGGUAUGUCUUCCAAGGCGUCAAUUUGGUAAAUGAAAUUGGUAGUGUGCUUUAACUUCUAGGAUAUUUCGUCUUCGUUCUGGCCAAGUUGUUGUACCUUCCUUGUUCCUUUUUUGCAUUUUGUUUGCCACCUUGCAACCGGUGCACUUUGAUACUGUUUUGUAACUGGCAAGCUACAUGGCAAGGGAAUGAGUAAGGAGGUAGGGAGUACAUGGAUAAGAGGGUUACAAAACAUCCCGGGUUUUCCAAGUAAAAAGCUUUUCAGCUACGUGUGCACGCACUUCCGUUUCUUGUUGUCUGUGGGCCCUGUCCGAGCAGGGCUACCCAACGCCACAAGGCUGUUUGGUUAGCCCCCUAGUAGUUUCAUGGCUUUUCCAUAUUCUACCCUAUUCCUGUUUUUCAUUGAAGGAAAAUUUUGUCAGCUGCAUAUGCAAGCAAUUACCGCAAAAUAAAAGGUAAACAAAAUUACUUCCGAGUAAUUUCGCGUGCAAAAACACGACUGAAUUACAUACACAUAGGAUUCCACUCCCCCUGCAACAACUGGUAUAAUUUUUAUCACUCCUUCAGCCACCCGCAUCCACACAUAAUAGUAAAAAUAUAACUUAUGAUUCUUUUUGAC
rnacentral:lncRNA from 1 species